AGAGUUUGAUCCUGGCUCAGGAUGAACUCUAGCGGCAGGCUUAACACAUGCAAGUCGAGGGGCAGCGGGUGUAGCAAUACAUGCCGGCGACCGGCGCAAGGGUGCGUAACGCGUGAGCAAUCUGCCCGUAUCAGGGGGAUAAGCGGUGGAAACGUCGUCUAAUACCGCAUAACACCAAUGAUGGCAUCAUCGAUGGUUGAAAGCUUCGGUGGAUACGGAUGAGCUCGCGAGACAUUAGUUAGUUGGCGGGGUAACGGCCCACCAAGACCGCGAUGUCUAGGGGAACUGAGAGGUUGGUCCCCCACACUGGAACUGAGACACGGUCCAGACUCCUACGGGAGGCAGCAGUGAGGAAUAUUGGACAAUGGCCGGAAGGCUGAUCCAGCCAUGCCGCGUGAAGGAAUAAGGUCCUAUGGAUUGUAAACUUCUUUUGUACGAGAGCAAUAAGUGUCACGAGUGACACGAUGAGAGUAUCGUACGAAUAAGCAUCGGCUAACUCCGUGCCAGCAGCCGCGGUAAUACGGAGGAUGCGAGCGUUAUCCGGAUUUAUUGGGUUUAAAGGGUGCGUAGGCGGGAUUUUAAGUCAGCGGUGAAACGCAAGGGCUCAACCCUUGACCUGCCGUUGAAACUGGAGUUCUUGAAUGCGGAUGCUGUGGGAGGAAUGUGUGGUGUAGCGGUGAAAUGCAUAGAUAUCACACAGAACACCGAUUGCGAAGGCAUCUCACAAAUCCGUGAUUGACGCUGAGGCACGAAAGUGUGGGGAUCAAAACAGGAUUAGAUACCCUGGUAGUCCACACUGUAAACGAUGAUAACUCGUCUGUCGCGCGAUACG
rnacentral:rRNA from 1 species